UUCGUCAUCUCUCUCUCUCUUUCUCUCUCUCUCCUUCUCUUUCACGCAAGCCGUUCACUGGUCACCAACGACCGUCAAAUUAAACCUCCAGAAUCCUCUUCACGUCCUCUUUCCAACCCCCAAGUUAGUUUCUACAAAUUUGUAGCUGAAUUUCGUCAAUUUCAUAUCUAAGAAGCGGUGGCCGCAGAUUUUCCGACAAAAUUUUGGCCAAACCUGCCGGAAUUGGACCUCGACCCAAGAGGUAAAUAUGAUCCUCUCCUUGUGGGCUGUCCUCCACUGUAAGUUCUUUUCCAAAAUAAAAAAAUUUAGUUUUGGGGUCAUUUCUAGAUUUCGAAUUUUAAAUCCAUUUUCUGUAUGCAUGUCAAAGAUUGGGCGAGGAAGGUAAAUCAAGUUUGUUUUCAACCUGGGCCGAGAAGAAUUAGACCAACCCACGUAUGGAUUUUUUUUUGUAUGCAUGUCAAAGAUUGGAUUUUUUUUUUGCUUAAAUUCAUCCUAGUAUCAUAAGUAGCUUAUGGAAGUUUAUGGAAGAGCUUAUGAAAAGAUUCACAUCCGUUUUACUCGUUUAAACUUGAAGUAGUUAAUUGUCUUAUUUUCGUUUGGGGCGUCUGGUUCCACUUUGUUGUCCUGGAAUGCAUGACGGUAGUUGAUGAUGUGCUGUGCAUGUGGGUAACCUGUAAAUUCGAAGUGUUCAUAUAUAGUACAAAUAUAUUCUAUUUGCCAUCAAUCGAAGAAUGCCCCUCAUAAUGUUUGGUUAUAACUUGUAAGUAUAUAUUUGUGUCUGAUUUGUGGUUCUCAUAAAAUUAUACGAAAUUUACAAUAUUGUAUGUUUACAUGCAAUUUCUCUAUGUGCAUGAACACUUAUGUGGAGGGGGUUGGUCGGGUUUGGGAAGAUCGGUGGAUGUAGAGCCUGAAUCGGAAAUCGCGUUGGUAAAAUCAGAGCAGGGGAUGUCUAUAUUGGGUUAUUUGUGGUGGUUGAAGGUUGUUUGGCUUCCGACGAAUUCAAAUGCAAUGGUAUUAGGAAUUAUUGGUUUCAUUAUCUAUUUGGAAGUACCAGCAAGCUGGCCUCCCUAUUUGGACAUUCCACGCUUUGAAGAUUUAAGUAUCACUGACAGUUUAUUGAUGAUGUACACUAGAUAUGUCAUUAAAAUAAGCAACUCACUUUGGCCCUAAAUAAUAUGCAAACUUACAUAUUUUUUCGAUUCAGGUGACUAUGAGCUGAAGAAAUGUGUUGUCUCAGACCUAGAAGCUACUUUUACAACCUGGAGUGAGGAAUAUGAAUCUUUGAUAUGGUAGAUCUGGAACUUGCUUGCUGGGGAAAAUGCAUCUGUCCAAAAAUGUGUGCUUUCAAGUUUUAUUGUAUUAGAGAUAAAAUAUGUAACAUUACAUUAUGUUUGUGAGAUUGGGAAUGUGUUGUAGGCCUUGUCAUUUUAAGAAAAUUAAAAAUUUUCAUUUCCUCAA